AAUUUUUUUAUUUUAGAGGAAGGGGAAUGAGGAAGGCGCACGCGCGCGCUCACACACACACACACACACACACACACACGCAGAAAGAGAGAAAAUGUUUGGAAUUGUGAAAGUGCCUUUCCUAGUAGUUGCUUUUACUGGCGCCCGGGCCUCAAUUCAUUUCAUCUCUGAACCAGAUACUAAAAAUCCUCCAGGCGAGUGGAGAGGACCGGCCUUCCUGGAUCGGGAACCUGCCCUCUGUCUUCCCUCGCAGCGCCCUUUCCUCCUUUCGCUUGGGAAAGGAAGAUUUCGAGCCCCAGGAAGGAGUUGGGAGUGAGCGACAGCCCAGAGCGUCCCAUAAGGUCCUUUUGGCCAUGUUUCUGCCCCGGGGGGCUUCACCUAGAUCCCCCACCCCACCCCUUACCCCUGUUGCAAAUACGUAAGCUGGACGCGCCUCGGUGCGGAUCCAGGCCUCGCUGAGCACGGAACCGGAGAAGCAGCUCACGGCCUCGGAUUCUACUCUCACCCAAGGGUGGAAGGGGGUGACAGGGCUCGGAUCUUGCCCCAAACGCUGCACAGGCCCGCAGGAGAGCAAAGAGGUCUCGGACAGGCUGUCCUUCCCCAGCUCUCGGUCGCGACAAGGUCCCGACAGGCCCGGGAACCGGCGAACCGCCUGCAGGUUGUCUUCUGCUCCUGAUCUGGUUGGCUGGAGACACUUAGAAGCUAUGGCCUUUCACCUACAGGGUCUCUCUUUGUUGCCUAGGCUGGAGUGCAGUGGAACGAACUUGGCUUAUUGAAGCAUUGACCACCUGGACCCAAGUGAUUCUCCUACCUUAGCCUCUUGAAUAGCUGUGACAACAGGUGUGCACUACCACACCCAGAUAAAUUUUGUAAUUUUUAUAGAGAGGGCAUUUGACCAUGUUGCCCAGGCUGGUCUCAAACUCCUGAGCUCAAGUGAUACUCCUGCCUCGGCCUCCCAAAGUGCUGGGAUUACAGAUGAAGAAAAUGAGGCACUGAGAGAUUACAUAACUUCCCUUGAGUCAUAUUUGCUUGUAAGUGGUAAGGCUGGAUGUUGAACCCAGGACAAAGGGUCUCACUCUGUCGCCCAGUCUGGAGUGCAAUGGUGUGAUCACGGUCACUGCAACCUCUGCCUCCCGGGUUCAAGCGAUUCUCCUGCCUCAGCCUCCCAAGUAGCUGGGAUUACAGCGGCUUGCAGUAAACUUCUUGGAGGAGAAUUGGCAUUGCAAGGGUGUUACUGGAGACCUCGGCAAGAAAGUGAAUGCAAAGACAGAUGACCCAGGAACCCGUGAUGGAUAAGGCUCUUGACAGCCAGGACGUGGAAUUACAGGGGGUCUCUUUGAGAGACAAAAUAAAAAAAAUAGCCCAGUAAUCUUCCUUCCACCCUUUUCUCCCAGAUCUAAUUACAGAUGUCUUGACAUUCCUUCUGCAUAGAAUUUCCUUAAAAGAUUUGCCAAGAAGAAACAUUUGGAAACUGUGUUUUAGGUAUAAUCCGUCUGGGAGUCACUCUUGCUCGCUUUGUCGUUAGAUGACAAAACGCUUAAUUACAGCGAGCACAAUGUAUACCACAUUUGGAAAACUGGAUUCUUGACCUAAAUAAUGUACCCCAUACUGACAAUGGCCUUUUGGCAAAACUUGUGUCUCUGAUCUCACAUUAAUUACUACACAAAUAUACUUAUUGUGGGCACCGAGUUUAUGGGAUGGAGUCCUCUUGACACAUGUUCACCAUAAAAACACAUUUUUUUCCCUUCCCCUGACCCUAAGGAAAAGAAAAAAAAAAAGAUUAACAUUUUUCAAGAUGCUGUUUUAGUGACAUGAAAACUGUCUGUUGAGUGUUCACUCGGCUUUUGUUCUUUUUCUUUUCUCCUUUUAUUAAAAAGCCUUUCAAACCAAGCAUUCCUGGUUUGUGAUUCUUUACUUUUGCUUUUAUGCUGAGGGAGAGACAGAUUAGAUUAGAUUAAAGACCAAGGGACACCUCGUGAAAUACAUUCCAUCUAGAGGCAAUUUGGUUGAGAGGGCCAAUUGUGUGUGUGUGUGCCUGUGUGCGUGCAGGCGUGCGUGUUUCUCCUUGUGGCAUACUGGUGGUCUUUUUACAGAUACAGAGUUCUGGUUUUUGGAAAUGCGUUUAUUCCUUUAGCCUUUUUCCCUUCAGAAGCCUGCAGCCUUUGAUUGUGGCCUGACUUUUAGGGGUCUGCGGCAUUUUGGGGGGUAGUAAAUCUUAUUAACUCUUCCCUUUAGUGUCUCGCCAUUCUCAAAAACUUUUACAAAAAGCAGCAACACCGCCCUCACCAAAGACAGAUGAAAGGAGCGGUUUCAAAG
rnacentral:lncRNA from 1 species